AGCAGCCGCGGUAAUUCCAGCUCCAAUAGCGUAUAUUAAAGUUGUUGCAGUUAAAAAGCUCGUAGUUGAAUUUCGGGAUCAAUAUUUCGGUCAUGCCGUUGGUAUGCACUGUUAUCAUUGAUUUCUCACCUUCUAAAGAACCGUAAUGCCAUUAAUUUGGUGUUACGGGGAAUUAGGACUGUUACCUUGAAAAAAUUAGAGUGUUUAAAGCAGGCUCACGCUUGAAUACAUUAGCAUGGAAUAAUGAAAUAGGACAUCCGAUUCUAUUUUGUUGGUUUCUAGGAUCGAUGUAAUGAUUAAUAGGGAUAGUUGGGGGCAUUAGUAUUCAAUUGUCAGAGGUGAAAUUCUUGGAUUUAUUGAAGACUAACUACUGCGAAAGCAUUUGCCAAGGAUGUUUUCAUUAAUCAAGAACGAAAGUUAGGGGAUCGAAGACGAUCAGAUACCGUCGUAGUCUUAACCAUAAACUAUGCCGACUAGGGAUCGGAUGAUGUUAAUUUUUUUAAUGACUCA
rnacentral:rRNA from 1 species